CUCAUCAAAAAUCUACAUAUACCUUAUAUAGGAUUCCCAAGCCAUAAAAUCCUAUUUUCCAAUUUUGUUACUUCACAUAACAUAUUUAAUUCAUUUACUCAUAACUAGUCCAUUUUCAUGAAAAAUACCAAGUCAGUUCCAAAAAUAUUUCUUUUCUGUGAUUUAGCAAAAUAUAGUCCCAUAUUGAACAUAUAUUUUUCUCGGAAUUUUUAAAAUUUAUUUACUAUUUU
rnacentral:lncRNA from 1 species